rnacentral:lncRNA from 1 species
UAACUGUUUCACUAGUGGCUGCAAACUCUGAAGACCCCUUCCCUUCCCUUCCCUUCCCUUCCCUUCCCUUCCCAAACCUUCCCAAACCUUCCCAAACCUUCCCAAACCUUCCCAAACCUUCCCUUCCCUUUUUCCCUUUUUCCCUUUUUCCCUUUUUCCCUCUUUUUUCCCUCUUUUUUCCCUUUUUUCCCUUUUUUCCUUUCCCCAUUUCUUCCAUUUCCCUUUUCCUCUUUUCCCCUUUUCCCAUUUCCUUUUUCUUAUUUUCCCCUCCCCAUUUUCCCUUUUUUUCCCCUUUUUUCCCAUUCCCAUUUCCGCCAUUCCCAUUCCCCUUUCUCAAUCCCAUUCCCGUUUUCCCCAUUUUUCCAUUUCCCAUUUUCCCCAUUCCCUGUUUUCCCCCAUUCCCAUUUUCCCCUUUUUUCCCAUUUUCCCCAUUCCCAUUUCCCUUUCUCAUCCCCAUUCCCAUUUUCCCAAUUCCCAUUCUCCAUUCCCAUUUUCCCAUUUUCCCUAUUUCCCCUUUUUCCCCAUUUCCCCAUUUCCUUUUUCCCCUUUUUUCCCAUUUUUCCAUUUUCCCCAUUCCCAUUUUCCCCAUUCCCAUUGUUUUCCCCAUUCCCAUUGUUUUCCCCUUUCCCCAUUCCCAUUUUCCCCUUUUUUUCCCCGUUCCCAUUUUCCCUUUUUUCCCAUUUCCCCAUUUUCCCCAUUUCCCCAUUCCCAUUUUUCCAAUUCCCCUUUUUUUCCCAUUUUCCGUUCCCCAUUUUCCCCAAUUCCCAUUUCCCAUUUUCCCCUUUUUUCCCCUUAUUCCCAUUCCCCAUUCCCUAUUUUCCUUUUUCCCCAUUUUUCCCCAUUCCCAUUUUUCCCCAUUUUUCCCCAUUUUUCCCCAUUUCCCAUUUUCCCAUUUUUCCAGAAUUCCCAUUUUCCCCAUUUUUUCCAUUCCCCAUUUUCCCAUUUCCCAUUUUCCCCAUUCCCAUUCCCAAUUUUCCUUUUUCCCCAUUUUUCCCCAUUUUUCCCCAUUUUCCCCCAUUUUUCCCCAUUCCCAUUUUUCCCCAUUUUUCCCCAUUUCCCCCAUUUUCCCCCAUUUUUCCCCAUUUCCCCAUUCCCAUUUUUCCCCAUUUUUCCCCAUUUUCCCCAUUUUCCCCCAUUUUUCCCCAU